GAGGAAAAGAAACCAACAGGGAUUGCCUCAGUAACGGCGAGUGAAGCGGCAACAGCUCAAAUUUGAAACCUGCCAACAGGCCGGAUUGUAAUUUGUAGAGGAUGCUUUGGAGUUGGCUCUGAUCUAAGUUUCUUGGAACAGAACGUCACAGAGGGUGAGAAUCCCGUACGUGGUCGGUGGCCUUCUCUAUGUAAAGCUCCUUCGACGAGUCGAGUUGUUUGGGAAUGCAGCUCAAAAUGGGUGGUAAAUUUCAUCUAAAGCUAAAUAUUGGCCAGAGACCGAUAGCGCACAAGUAGAGUGAUCGAAAGAUGAAAAGCACUUUGGAAAGAGAGUUAAACAGCACGUGAAAUUGUUGAAAGGGAAGCGCUUGCAACCAGACUUGCGCGUAGGUAAUCACGAGUGGUUCGCUGCUCUGCACUUGCCUACGCUCAGGCCAGCAUCAGUUCUAGGGGUGGGAUAAAGGCCGUUGGAAUGUGGCUCUUCGGAGUGUUAUAGCCUUCGGUGCCAUGCCGCCUCCCGGGACUGAGGACCGCGCUUCGGCUAGGAUGCUGGCGUAAUGGUUGUAAGCGACCCGU
rnacentral:rRNA from 1 species